rnacentral:lncRNA from 1 species
GGGUAACUGCUGCCUUCUACCUGUAGGGGAAGCGCUUCCUCUGGAGCGGGGGAUGCAGCACCCGGAAGCAGUCAUGCCAGGCCUGCCUGAUUCCCAUCUUCUUGCCAGAGAUCUUUGAAAGUGCAGGUGGAACAGAGUUCUUGCCCCAUGGCUCCACUACCGUUGCAGUCAUAGUGAACGUGAGACCAGAUGGCAGGGAUCUGAUGCCAUUUAAGAAGUACCUUUUGCCUUCCACCAUGAUUGUGAGGCCUCCCCAGC